AAUAAACAAAAUAACAGGCCUCAUGUAAUUUUGCUUACAGGGAAACCCAUUCCAAGAUUCUAAUGAGCAUUCCAAGCACACAGUAAGAGAGAACCCUUAUCUUUGUGAAUGACUUCAAAGUAUAAAGCUUGGGUUUGAAUUAACUAACAUCUAUUAUUCAACAGUUCAGUUCGACAUUUACUAUACAUAUAGCACAAGGCACUGAGUUAGGUGGUAUGAGGUAUAAACAGACAUAGAAGUCAGGCCCUAAGGAGUGAACAAGCCAGUAACUAGGAGAUAAAGCAUGCGUACAGGUCACUGCAAUAGCAGACAGAAAGUGGUGAUGCUAUGAAAGGUAAAAACGAAAGGCUGGGUUAGCAGAGAAGCCGGAAGAUUCACUUUUAGCUGGGAGUUAAUGGAGAAGGCUUUGUGUAGGAGGGAGCAUUUGAGUUGAACCUCAGAGGAUAGGAAAGAUGGGGCAGGGACCUAGGAAGGGCACAGCAUGAUCAAAGUCUUGCAAAUGUGAAAGGAGUAGAGAGGUUUUGAACAAAUGGAGCAUAGCUUGUCCAUGGGAAGACGUGUUAAGGUUGGAAAGAAGCUAAUGUUUACACCUGAAAAUGGAUUGGGGUUUAUUCACAUAAGAAAAAGUGGUUUUCCAUGUUCCCUGUGCAUUCAGAAUCCCUCUGGGGAUCCAGUUAAAAUUCUAGUUCCAAGGCCCAUCCCAGAUACUGGUCUGUGCAUGUGCAUUUUCAGUGAGCACUCUAGAUCACUCUGAUCUGUGGUCCUUAGAACCACACUUUGCGAAAUACCUGUGUGGGACCUGGAAAGCAGUUCUUCUGAAUUUAGAAUAUAUUUUUAGGUAAUAGAAACUUUUCAUGUUUUUUGAACAGGGAAAAUUUGGUUACAGAAACUCUGGUUGUUUCGAUUUGUUUAUGGCACUAAAAAUUUUUUUUCUAUUAUGAAAGCAGAUAAUGAGCACUUAAAAGAAUAUUGAUAAAAUGUAAUCUCUCUCUCUCUCUCUCUCUUUCUCUCUCUCACACACACACACACACACACACACACACACACACAAACAGCCUACACCUCCAGAUGUAAGAAAUUUCUCUUCUACCAAAAAGAGUGUUCAGAAAAUAAGCUGUGCAAGCCCAAGAAUUCUGCAGAGUUUGAAGUGUCUGUAUUCAGAAGCAGCGUGAAACAUCAAAUGCUCUGCACAUCAGUAGGUUUGGGUAGAAGAGAAAUUUAAAUAAGGGAUGAACUACGCUGUGAAGCAGUAAGAAGGACUUCUAUGUAAUCUGACCUGUCAGUGUUAAGUUGAAAAGGGGUGUGCUCAUGCUUACAUAAAUCUUCAUGCUGCUUUUACUAAUUAACAUGUGUAAAAAUCAUAGGAAAAUUUUCCACAGGAGAAGGUGAUGCCUCUCCUUACCCCUUUAUAAUUCAUUUUUCUUCUAAGCUUUUUUAAUGGUGGCUGGAAUCCUGCAGUAGGAAUCACAUUCUUGAUUUUUUGACAGCAUUGCCACAUUUUCAUCCUUUUGGUGUUUCUUAAUUUCCGACUCUGCAUUUUGACAGCUCAACCCUGUUGAUUAAUGCCUUGUAGGAACCCCUAUAUGGCCUGCCUGUUAGCGAUCUAAUUUUGUGCUGGAAUGCCUGGGCUGGUAUGUUGAACCGAUUCACCACCCAGGUGGCUACAUUUGGACUAAAUGAGCUGUGAAGGGUUUCAUCUUUGCCCAUCACAGUCUUCCUUAGCUGAGCCCCACAGUAUGCAGCCACCGCUUCGACAUGAUUUGUCACAACCCAUCAAUAGAAAAUAAAUUAUUGCCAUUCUCACUUGUCAAUGGGCUUGUCUUCACUUCGGCUGGCCUAAUGAUUGGAAGCUCAAAGGGAACAUUUCCCAUCUUUGUGGAGCAUGAUUAUGACCGAAUGCACUGCUCCCCUAUGCAUCUUGGCCAGUAAAAACACGUAGGGAAAGCAAAUUAAUUGGCUGUUUUGCGCCAGUGAUUAGAACAUUACGCUUGAAGUCUGCAGAAACUGAUAUUAGGCAAGCAAGAUUAGGUCGGUUCUGACUUUUAUUUGCUUAGUGCAACAUGAUUAGCAACUGCUUCAUUCAAGGUUAGUGCUCUUGCUGCUGAAGAAAAUCUUCAUAACAUAAUGAUGCUGCAUACCUUUAAGCUGAUAAGCAUGUUCCAGGCAGAAAUCAAAAAUCUCUUUGGGAAAGGAAGCAAAUGAGGAGAUGUAACAGAGAACUCAUCAAAUGGCUUUAGAGCCAUUCUUAUGUCUGGCACUUUUGAAAAUUAUAUUCCUAGGAAACCCGCUCUGCAAGCUAUAUUUGCAGAAUGUAGAGAUGGUAAUUGUGUCAGUUCACGAGACAAAGAAUAAAAGUACCCAAGGAGCAACACGAAGUAGAAGGUGACACCUUUCAAUGAACUAACUAAAAAUGAGCUUGCUUUAAAAGAAACCGAAACUCUUCUUUUUUACAAACUACAGAAAGAGCAGGAAGAGCAAAGGAUACAAUGGCAGGGCAUCAAGUUAGACCUCAUAAUUAAAUUCAGAGAUACAGUAGAUCAAAGAGGAAACUGUAUUUAAAAAAUUAGGUCUAGGGUGUGGAUUUGAGUUUCUCAGUUAACAGCUUUGCCUGCAGUAUAAUGACAAGAGGCUUUAUCUAACAGAACAAUAAACAAAGAUGUGGUGUACAAGUAAAAGAAUGCCUGACACUUUAAUUAUUUUAAAUAUGGUGUUGUUUUAGAUUUGGGCCAUGUCUACAAAACUAAGCAGUUUUUUACGAUUGCCCUAUCUUAUCUACCACCACCACCUAGGAAAGAGAGAGGGAAACAUACUGUGAAUGAAAACCAGAAUGCGAGUUCCCAACUUCCAUUCUCUCUGGCCUUCUUAGUAAAUCUUUUGCCAUCUCAUUGUUUGUUCUUUAGCCCAGAGACAGAUGCCCCAGGAGUACAACUAAAUCUGCAAAGGAUACACACUUUAGAAAUACUAUUACGUGUACUUUCAUGUUUGUUUAAUGUAGCUCAGGUCUCACCUCUGCCACAGCACUUGACGCAUGUGGUUUAAGAACACUAAAAUGCUUCUGCUCAGUACCAACAGAACCGAGGGAUGCAGGGAACUUUUUCCCUACAUCAUAAAUAUUUUUGUUUACCAAACCUUUAGCAUUUUCUUCCUCUUUUCCUAGCAUGAGUUACUGUCUUCUGAUCUUUGGAGACAUAAGGUUCUUGAGCUCCCAAGUCAACCUCUUUGUCUUCUGGAUUAAGGUCACAUGUCAUCAUGGAGAACUCCUCCUUUCACAGGAAUAUGAAUGUUUUCUAAUGGGAGGCAUUUUAAAUGCCUUAGUUGAAGACUGAUUCAAAGAAAAGCUCUCUUUUGGAUUCCUCUCAACAUCUAUCAGACAAUCGACAUCUUUGAAGGAGACUUGACAUGAAGGCACAAAAGUCACCCUGCUUCAGCUGGGCCAACCUAUGGACAUCUGCACCCCAGCUUUUGUGGACACGGUUCUUACUUACACUGUGGGAUGGUGAGGUAUCUAAGGUUCAAAAUGUUCAAAGUGUGGAUCCAAGUAUAGAAGAUUUUGAAAAACCAAAAGAAAGCAAUAAAAUGCAAGAACUGCAACAUACAAGUGGAAGAACGAUAAACUUAUGAAUUUUAGUGUAUUGCUAAAAUGCCAAAGAUUACCAGGUAAGAAGCAGCUUGAUAACGAUCAUUUAAAAUCAAUCACCCUUCCCAAAGAAAAGUUAAGAAGCAGACAACAAAAGACCCUCCCACAGAAGACUGUUUUGAAAAUUCAUCAGCUGUAAUUGUGAAAUCACUUCUUUAUCCUGAUCAGAAAAAUCCGGCUACGAAAUAAACCCCGGCUGACCAGA